rnacentral:rRNA from 1 species
GAGCGGACCUUCGGGGAUAGCGGCGGACGGGUGAGUACACGCAGGCAACCUGCCUGCAAGACCGGGAUAACUAUACGGAAACGAUAGCUAAGACCGGAUAGCUGGUUCUCUCGCAUGAGGGGAUCAUGAAACACGGGGCAACCUGUGGCUUGCGGAUGGGCCUGCGGCGCAUUAGCUAGUUGGUGAGGUAACGGCUCACCAAGGCGACGAUGCGUAGCCGACCUGAGAGGGUGAACGGCCACACUGGGACUGAGACACGGCCCAGACUCCUACGGGAGGCAGCAGUAGGGAAUCUUCCGCAAUGGACGCAAGUCUGACGGAGCAACGCCGCGUGAGUGAUGAAGGUUUUCGGAUCGUAAAGCUCUGUUGCCCUAGACGAACAGCAAGGAGAGUAACUGCUCUUUGUGUGACGGUAUAGGAGAAGAAAGCCCCGGCUAACUACGUGCCAGCAGCCGCGGUAAU